CGCAAGUUGCGCCUGAAGCCAUUAGGUUGAGGGCACGCCUGCCUGGGCGUCACGCAUCGCGUUGUCCCCUCCCAACCCUUUCUUUUGUGAGUGUGGGUUGAUUUGAGGGGAUGGAUAUUGGCCUCCCGUGCUCUUUCUGUGCGGCUGGCUUAAAAUUGAU
rnacentral:rRNA from 1 species